AUUGAACGCUGGCGGCAGGCCUAACACAUGCAAGUCGAGCGGAUGAAGGGAGCUUGCUCCUGGAUUCAGCGGCGGACGGGUGAGUAAUGCCUAGGAAUCUGCCUGGUAGUGGGGGAUAACGUCCUGAAACGGGCGCUAAUACCGCAUACGUCCUGAGGGAGAAAGUGGGGGAUCUUCGGACCUCACGCUAUCAGAUGAGCCUAGGUCGGAUUAGCUAGUUGGUGGGGUAAAGGCCUACCAAGGCGACGAUCCGUAACUGGUCUGAGAGGAUGAUCAGUCACACUGGAACUGAGACACGGUCCAGACUCCUACGGGAGGCCGCAGUGGGGAAUAUUGGACAAUGGGCGAAAGCCUGAUCCAGCCAUGCCGAGUGUGUGAAGAAGGUCUUCGGAUUGUAAAGCACUUUAAGUUGGGAGGAAGGGCAGUAAGUUAAUACCUUGCUGUUUUGACGUUACCAACAGAAUAAGCACCGGCUAACUUCGUG
rnacentral:rRNA from 1 species